GACGAACGCUGGCGGCGUGCUUAACACAUGCAAGUCGAACGGAAAGGCCUCUUUCGGGGGGUACUCGAGUGGCGAACGGGUGAGUAACUCGUGAGUAACCUGCCCUUGACUUUGGGAUAACUUCAGGAAACUGGGGCUAAUACCGGAUAGGAGCUCCUGCUGCAUGGUGGGGGUUGGAAAGUUUCGGCGGUUGGGGAUGGACUCGCGGCUUAUCAGCUUGUUGGUGGGGUAGUGGCUUACCAAGGCUUUGACGGGUAGCCGGCCUGAGAGGGUGACCGGCCACAUUGGGACUGAGAUACGGCCCAGACUCCUACGGGAGGCAGCAGUGGGGAAUAUUGCACAAUGGGUGGAAGCCUGAUGCAGCAACGCCGUGUGCGGGAUGACGGCCUUCGGGUUGUAAACCGCUUUCGCCUGUGACGAAGCGUGAGUGACGGUAAUGGGUAAAGAAGCACCGGCUAACUACGUG
rnacentral:rRNA from 1 species